AUGUUUGCAUCCCGGCGCCUUCUUCCAAAAAUUGCCAAAUCCACGUCAUCAACAUCUUCAGCAGUUAUCUCAACGUGUAUUCAAAAGAGAAAUUACUUUACAAGACAUGUUCCUGAACCUAAAAUGAUGAUUCAUUUAUCCAAAUCUCAAGGUUUGUACAGAAAAUGGAAAAAUAAGAAUACGUUUUUUUGAAAAUAUUUAUUCAAUUUUCAGAUGUUACCGUCGAUUCGAUUGUACUUUCGGACAGUCAUCAUGAUGAGAAAAAACCAGUUAUUCUGAUGGUUGGAUGGGCUGGAGCAAAUCCAAAGCAUAUCGACAAGUAUAUUAAAGUUUAUAAUGAUGAAGGGUAAAUUUUAGUUUUUUAUUUGAAAAAAAUGGGUAAAAAACUUACUCUUUUACCCAGAAUUUUGAAAUUUAAAAGAGUUUAUUUUAUAAGCCUUUCUUUAAUGAGAAAUAUAUAUAAUUUUAGACAUUUUUUCAGAUAUCGAGUUGUCUCCCUCUGUCCACCAUGUUAUCACUAUAGUAUUCCAAAUUCUCGUGUUGGAUUCUACAUGUCACCACUUUUCAGAGCAAUUGAUGCAAAACCCGGAGAUUUCAGAUCAUUUGCCAAAUGGUUGGGUUGAUUUUUAAAAAAUUAAAUAUUGAAUUAAUCAGUUUUCAGUCCAAUAAUUGUUCACUCAUUUUCAAUGAACGGAGUACGCGGAUUAAUUUCAUUUUGGAAAUGGACAGAAGCAGAGGAAAAACCACAAUUAAGAGAACGAAUUAAAGGAAUUAUUUUCGAUAGGUGAGUUUUAUAUUGAAAUUGAACUUUGGUUUCAGUUAUUCUUAAAUUUUUAUUUUUCAGUGCCCCAUCGCGCCCAUAUGGAAAACAAGACGCUACGGCAAUGGUCAUUUCAACUCCUCCAAUUGAUGCAUUUGAACGAUGGAUUAGUGAGCAAACGAGAAUUUCUGUGCUUACUUGGUUCUUGAAUCUACGAGCUUACUUGG
rnacentral:sRNA from 1 species